rnacentral:lncRNA from 1 species
UCCUCCUCUCCUCUUUCUUCUUCUUCUUCUUCUUCUUUUUUCUUCUAGUUUAUUAUUCUCUUAUUUUCUUCUAAGUUUUUUUCUAUCUAUUUGUUUUCUUUUCUAUCUACUUUUUCUACCUAUUAAACUAGCUAUCUAAUUUAACAUAAAAACAGAAGAAAAAAAACUAAACCUAGCACUAAACUACAUAUUCUUCUUCUACUUUUCUACCUUUUCUACUUUUUCUUUUUAUUAUUCGGACAUUCUAGCUAAAAAUAAGAAGAAAAAACAGGAAAAAA